rnacentral:rRNA from 1 species
GACGAACGCUGGCGGCGUGCCUAACACAUGCAAGUCGAACGAGGUUUUUGACUUCGGUUAAAAGCUGAGUGGCGGACGGGUGAGUAACGCGUGAGUAACCUGCCUUACAGAGGGGAAUAACGUCUGGAAACGGACGCUAAUACCGCAUAACAUUUCUUUAUCACAUGGUAGAGGAAUCAAAGGAGCAAUCCACUGUAAGAUGGACUCGCGUCCGAUUAGCUAGAUGGUGAGAUAACAGCCCACCAUGGCGACGAUCGGUAGCCGGACUGAGAGGUUGAACGGCCACAUUGGGACUGAGACACGGCCCAGACUCCUACGGGAGGCAG